rnacentral:rRNA from 1 species
GACGAACGCUGGCGGCGUGCUUAACACAUGCAAGUCGAACGGGCCUGCCCUCUUCUGGGUGGGUUGAGUGGCGAACGGGUGAGUAUCAUGACACGAACCUGCCCUCUGCUCCUGGAUAACGUUCUGUAAGGGGUCCUAAUACGGUGCGUGCUGGUGCUGCCGCAUGGUGUUGCCGGGAGAGGUUCCCCUUUUUUUUGUGGUUCUGGUGGGGGAUGGGCUUGCGGCCUAUCAGCUUGUUGGUGGGGUGAUGGCCUACCAAGGCGGUGACGGGUGGCCGGCCGGAGAGGGUGGACGGCCACACUGGGACUGAGACACGGCCCAGACUCCUGCGGGAGGCAGCAGUGGGGGGUAUUGCGCAAUGGGCGGAAGCCUGACGCAGCGACGCCGCGUGAGGGACGGAGGCCUUCGGGUUGUGAACCUCUUUCGCCGGUGGCGAAGGCGCGCUUGUGUGGGGUGCUGACUGUAGCCGGGUUAAGAAGCGCCGGCUAACUACGUG